CUAAUUCCUUGAGGACUUGACUUCAAAUGAUGUCCCAAGUUGUUUGAACUCUUGAUUAUUGACCAUGGUGCCCAAAUUCCACAAGAAUGACCACCAUCCACUGCUUUGACUGACAGUUGACUUUUUUAGGGUUUUUGACUGUCUGUGUGUGAACUGAUGACCUCUGAGCCCUCAACCCUUGACCAAAAUACUUCAAAUAGACCUCCAAGCCAUGUGAACUUGUUGGACAAACCCCAAGGCCUCGAUUCAAUGAGAAAUUCCUUUGCUUGCUUGAUUGACUGAUCAGGAGAUUGGUUUGACCUAAUU
rnacentral:lncRNA from 1 species